AGCGGCCGCGGUAAUUCCAGCUCCAAUAGCGUAUAUUAAAGUUGUUGCAGUUAAAAAGCUCGUAGUUGAAUUUCGGGAUUGACGUGAUGGUCAUGCCUUAAGGGGUAUGAACUGUUACUGUUGAUUUCUCACCUUCUGGAGAAACUUGAUGUCCUUUAUUGGGUGUCUUGCGGAUCCAGGACCUUUACCUUGAAAAAAUUAGAGUGUUUAAAGCAGGCAUUUUUGCUCGAAUACAUUAGCAUGGAAUAAUAGAAUAGGACGGCAUGGUUCUAUUUUGUUGGUUUCUAGGAUCACCGUAAUGAUUAAUAGGGAUAGUUGGGGGCAUUAGUAUUCAAUUGUCAGAGGUGAAAUUCUUGGAUUUAUUGAAGACUAACUACUGCGAAAGCAUUUGCCAAGGAUGUUUUCAUUAAUCAAGAACGAAAGUUAGGGGAUCGAAGACGAUCAGAUACCGUCGUAGUCUUAACCAUAAACUAUGCCGACUAGGAAUCAGACGAUGUUAAUUUUUAAUGAUCGUUUGGCU
rnacentral:rRNA from 1 species